rnacentral:rRNA from 1 species
GAUGAACGCUGGCGGCGUGCCUAAUACAUGCAAGUCGAGCGAACAGACGAGGAGCUUGCUCCUCUGACGUUAGCGGCGGACGGGUGAGUAACACGUGGAUAACCUACCUAUAAGACUGGGAUAACUUCGGGAAACCGGAGCUAAUACCGGAUAACAUGUUGAACCGCAUGGUUCAACAGUGAAAGACGGUCUUGCUGUCACUUAUAGAUGGAUCCGCGCCGCAUUAGCUAGUUGGUAAGGUAACGGCUUACCAAGGCAACGAUGCGUAGCCGACCUGAGCGGGUGAUCGGCCACACUGGAACUGAGACACGGUCCAGACUCCUACGGGAGGAAGCAGUAGGGAAUCUUCCGCAAUGGGCGAAAUCCUGACGGAGCAACGCCGCGUGAGUGAAGAAGGUCUUCGGAUCGUAAAACUCUGUUAUUAGGGAAGAACAAAUGUGUAAGUAACUAUGCACGUCUUGACGGUACCUAAUCAGAAAGCCACGGCUAACUACGUG